CCAUAGCUCAGUGGCUAGAGCAUCUGCCUUGCAUGAGGAAGGUCGCCGGUUCAAUCCUCGGUAUCUCCAGAUAGG